AUGCGUCGACGUGGGCGGUUCGCUGCCUGCGACGUCACAAAAAGUCCACUGAACCUUAUCAUUUAGAGGAAGGAGAAGUCGUAACAAGGUUUCCGUAGGUGAACCUGCGGAAGGAUCAUUGUUGAAACCUUAACAGCAGAACGACCCGUGAACUCGUACAACACAACUUGGGGGCGAGGGGCCCAAUAGCCCCGGACCUCCUUGGCUAGGUGGGUGCCAACUCGGGCGUCGCUGGUCGGUGCUCGCUGUUGUUGCCUUCCCUGCCAUACAAACGAACCCCGGCGCAAACCGCGCCAAGGAACUUGAACGAAUCAGCACGCCCCGGUGCCCCAGAGAUGGUGCGCAUCGUUGGCGCUGCGUCGUAUUCUUUAUGUCAAAACGACUCUCGGCAACGGAUAUCUCGGCUCUCGCAUCGAUGAAGAACGUAGCGAAAUGCGAUACUUGGUGUGAAUUGCAGAAUCCCGUGAACCAUCGAGUCUUUGAACGCAAGUUGCGCCCAAAGCCAUUAGGCCGAGGGCACGUCUGCCUGGGCGUCACACAACGUUGCCCCCCAAUCCCAAACCUCGACUUCGAGGAGGGACGGGGGGCGGAUUCUGGCCUCCCGUGCGCCACGGCUCGUGGUUGGCCCAAAUGCGAGUACUCGGCGACGAGCGCCGCGGCAAUCGGUGGUUGUCCAACCCUCGGUGCCAUGCUGCGAGCGCGAGUCGCUGAUCGUUACUCGUCGACCCCCAACGCGCCGUACACACGGCGUUCACAACGCGACCCCAGGUCAGGCGGGGCUACCCGCUGAGUUGAAGCAUAUCAAUAAGCGGAGG
rnacentral:sRNA from 1 species